UGGUGUCGGAUAGUUGCUCCAGGUAAAACUGGGGAGGAAAGUCCGAACAUUCAUUCUAAGGUGUCGCACAUGUGCAAUCUUAGAAAAGGGUAGCAGGUAACGCCUGCCGGGAGUAAUCCUAGAAGUGAGAACAGAAACGAUCCGGUUAAGUCCGGCUGAAACGGCAAAAUCUUUACCUGAAUGCAAGGCCGUGCUCCGAGAGAAAUUGAGGAGAGUGCCGCUAGAGGCUCAUAGCGAUAUGAGUCCCAGAUAAAUAACUAUCGUCCGCCAACUGGCGGAACAGAAUUCGGCUUAUAGACACCCAAACCAC
rnacentral:RNase_P_RNA from 1 species